UUUGACAUCCAGAGAAUUUAGCAGAGAUGCUUUAGUGCCUUCGGGAACUCUGAGUCAGGUGCUGCAUGGCUGUCGUCAGCUCGUGUUGUGAAAUGUUGGGUUAAGUCCGCAACGAGCGCAACCCUUAUCCUUUGUUGCCAGCACGUAAUGGUGGGAAACUCAAAGGAGACUGCCGGUGAUAAACCGGAGGAAGGUGGGGAUGACGUCAAGUCAUCAUGGCCCUUACGAGUAGGGCUACACACGUGCUACAAUGGCGUAUACAAAGAGAAGCGACCUCGCGAGAGCAAGCGGACCUCAUAAAGUGCGUCGUAGUCCGGAUUGGAGUCUGCAACUCGACUCCAUGAAGUCGGAAUCGCUAGUAAUCGUAAAUCAGAAUGUUACGGUGAAUACGUUCCCGGGCCUUGUACACACCGCCCGUCACACCAUGGGAGUGGGUUGCAAAAGAAGUAGAUAGCUUAACCUUCGGGAGGGCGUUUACCACUUUGUGAUUCAUGACUGGGGUGAAGUCGUAACAAGGUAAGCGUAGUGCU
rnacentral:rRNA from 1 species